ensembl:misc_RNA Y_RNA Y RNA
GGCUGGUCUGAGUGGAGUGGUAUUUACUACUAAUUGAUCACAACCAAUCACAGAUUCUUUUGUUCCUUCUCCACUCCACUGCUUCACUUGACUGACCUUAC